rnacentral:rRNA from 1 species
UGGGGAAUAUUGCACAAUGGGGGAAACCCUGAUGCAGCGACGCCGCGUGAGUGAAGAAGAUGACGGUACCUGAAUAAGAAGCCCCGGCUAACUACGUGCCAGCAGCCGCGGUAAUACGUAGGGGGCAAGCGUUAUCCGGAUUUACUGGGUGUAAAGGGAGCGCAGACGGCUGUGCAAGUCUGAAGUGAAAGCCCGCGGCUCAACUGCGGGAUUGCUUUGGAAACUGUGCGGCUUGAGUAUCGGAGAGGUAAGCGGAAUUCCAAGUGUAGCGGUGAAAUGCGUAGAUAUUUGGAGGAACACCGGUGGCGAAGGCGGCUUACUGGACGAAAACUGACGUUGAGGCUCGAAGGCGUGGGGAGCAAACAGG